rnacentral:ncRNA from 1 species
AAAACGGUUCUUUUCAGAGCCACACACAUUUUUCAAAAAGAAUCUG